rnacentral:hammerhead_ribozyme from 1 species
AUCCGGCUGACGAGUCCCAAAUGGGACGAAACGCGUGUCCUGGAU